rnacentral:rRNA from 1 species
AACGCGAAGAACCUUACCUGGGUUUGACAUACACCAGAAAGCUAUAGAGAUAUAGCCCCCCUUGUGGUUGGUGUACAGGUGGUGCAUGGCUGUCGUCAGCUCGUGUCGUGAGAUGUUGGGUUAAGUCCCGCAACGAGCGCAACCCUUAUCUUAUGUUGCCAGCGCGUAAUGGCGGGGACUCGUGAGAGACUGCCGGGGUCAACUCGGAGGAAGGUGGGGACGACGUCAAGUCAUCAUGCCCCUUAUGUCCAGGGCUUCACACAUGCUACAAUGGCCGGUACAGAGGGCUGCGAUACCGUGAGGUGGAGCGAAUCCCUUAAAGCCGGUCUCAGUUCGGAUCGGGGUCUGCAACUCGACCCCGUGAAGUUGGAGUCGCUAGUAAUCGCAGAUCAGCAACGCUGCGGUGAAUACGUUCCCGGGCCUUGUA